AUGAACGCUAGCGGCAGGCUUAACACAUGCAAGUCGAGGGGCAGCAUGAGACUGAGAUUCGUCGAAGUCUUGAUGGCGACCGGCGCAAGGGUGCGUAACGCGUGAGCAACUUGCCCGUUUCGAGGGGGAUAACCGGUGGAAACGCCGACUAAUACCCCAUGGUAUCAUUAUGAGGCAUCUUAUGAUGAAUUAAAGAACUUCGGAUAAGAAUAGGCUCGCGUGACAUUAGCUAGAUGGGCGGGGUAACGGCCCACCAUGGCGACGAUGUCUAGGGGUUCUGAGAGGAAGGUCCCCCACACUGGAACUGAGACACGGUCCAGACUCCUACGGGAGGCAGCAGUGAGGAAUAUUGGUCAAUGGUCGAGAGACUGAACCAGCCAUGCCGCGUGAAGGUCACGGCCCUAUGGGUCUUAAACUUCUUUUGUAAGGGAGCAAUAAGGUUCACGUGUGGACUGAUGAGAGUACCUUACGAAUAAGCAUCGGCUAACUCCGUG
rnacentral:rRNA from 1 species